CCGCACAGCCCGGCUCCUGCCUCCCCGGGCUCCCCGCAUCUCUUCUUCCCAGCUGGCUGCAGCCCCUCAGGGGGACGCUUCACACCGGGCGCGAACACGAAGCGAGGGCUGCUCCCACAGAUUCUCCGGCUCCGUCAGAGACAGUCGAGAAGGGCUUCCUCAGAUGUAGGAGUAACACAGCCCUAGUCAAACAGCCGGGGCUGAGGUGUUCCCCAGGACUGUCCCCGCCUAAUCCAAAGCCUUCCCUGUCGCUUGUGUCACCCGGGGGACGCCGACAAAUCCUUCCGGCAUGCAGCAAAACAGCUCCCUUAAACACCCUUUUAACUCUGCUUCAGCCCACUAUCCCUCUUGUAUCUUGUCUUGCCCCUUAGCACGGUCCGUUACUUAAAAAAUAAGAGGAAAUAUCCUUAAAAUCUGCGGCUAGAAAGGAGAUGACAAAUACUCGUGAGGGGACUGAGUGCGAAGUAAAAAUGACGUGGAAAUAUGCCAGGUGCUAAAAGCAUAAACGGAGGUAAACAUAAGUUAGAAAUAGGGUUUUGUUUGUGUGCUGAGAGAAGAUGCGAUUAGAGCCUGAACUGCUGCCGUUUAGCUCGGCUGUGUUUGUUUUCAUAGGUCACUGCUGCUCUUUGAAUUAAACUGCUCCAAGCCCAGUUUCUCCCGGGGUGAGGAGGUUACCUGGGAGACACGGUGUAAACUCAACAGCCCCGCGUAGCCGCAGCGCCUGCAGCCUCUGCCUCGAGAAUUGUGCUCCGCACUCAGGGAAACAGCCGAAAAUAAAAUCAAAGUGUGUGUAAUUGCUGUCCAGUUCCUCGCUGGCCAGCAAAGGAAGGCAUCUGCGAGCUGAAAAUGCUCUGUAACUUCCCUUUGGGUUGCUGUGCCACUUUGACUUUUAGCUGCUGAAGAACCAGGUUUCUGGGUGUUAAUACAUUUAAAGACCAUAUGUCUGACAAUCAACAGGAUAAGAGGAGAAGCAAAAAAGGUUGUGGAAGUGUUGCUGCAGACAAUAUAAUGGAAGAAAUGCAUCAGUCAGACAAAGUUCUAGGAAAAACCAGCCAAAUUGCACCAACAUCCAGAACACAGCCAGACCAACAAGUGGCAUGUUUUCCAAGUAAAAAUCAGAUUGUGUUACCCGGGAAAUAUCACACUUCAUUACCUUUCUUCUCAAAGGAAGACAACAUGGGAUGUGGCUUUGGCUUCAACUUUGUGCUACAGACCUCAUGCCCAGAAUCUAACAUUUCAACAUCAUUUAUGAAUUUAGAUAGUUUCCAGAUAAUAAAAGCACAAAUACAACAAAGGUUAAAUGUAACAAUGCUAAAAACCAGGAACAAGAAAUCUGAGAAAAGACUCAACUCAUUGAAUCAGAUGGACACUUCAAUGAACCCAUCACAGAAUAGUGAAGUAUAGAAGUAAGAGCAAGAGUUCUGACACAGGAUUAUGAAAAAGGUUAUGGAAAAAAAAAACCCAAGUGGAGGAAAAUAUUUAAGAAAAAUAAUUUAGCUGCCCUUGGUGUGAUUUAAUGCAGCUUUAUUUCAUGUCUUGGGCUCUGGUGCUUUUUAAAGGUGUAUCUUUACACUUUAUAUUAUUUGUUAUUUGGGAUAAUACCAAUGCCAUUCAGGCUGGACAAAGCCUUCAGAACUGUGAAUUUCAAACCAACACAUUGCUUUUCCUGGCAUGUUCAGACCUCAGUUUGUCCUUGGAAUGCAAACAAAAAUUUCCUUCAGAUUGCAAACUGAUGUUGAAAAUAGACAUGCAAAUGAGCACUCAGAGCAGAUGAUUGUGUGAUUAUUUCUAUUGCAUUCAUUUGCAUAAAAAUAUUCAUUUCCUAUAAAAUAAUGAACAGAAAUACUAUUUUCAGAAAAUCAUUCUCACUAUUCAUCUGAAUAGUCCAAACAAAGUACUCAGUUUCUCUGAUCUGUACUCCUUCAAAUGUAAUGGUACCUUUCAACAAAUAUGCUGGGGAGAAGGAGGAACAAUAAAGCACAUCCGUGACCCA
rnacentral:lncRNA from 1 species